UUAACGGCCGCGGUAUUUUGACCGUGCAAAGGUAGCAUAAUCAUUUGUCCUUUAAUUGGGGGCUAGAAUGAAAGAAAGUUUGAAGCUUUUUCUGUCUCUUUUUUAUUUUUGUAAUUUGCUGUUCUUGUGAAGAAGCAAGAGUUGUUAAAAAAGACAAGAAGACCCUAUUAAGCUUUAUUUUUUUGUUUUUAUUCGUUUGAAUAUAAAAACAAAAAGAUUUGGUUGGGGUGACUAAAGAAGAAAAAUUUAUCUUCUUUUUUUAAAAAUAACUAUUUGUUUAAUAGAGACCCAAAAUUUUUUGGUUGUAAGAAUUAGUUACUAUAGGGAUAACAGCGUUAUCUUUUCAUAAAGUUCUUAUUGAAGAAAAGGAUUGCGACCUCGAUGUUGACUUACUUUAUCCUAUAAAGGUGUAGCAGCUGUGAGGGUUGGU
rnacentral:rRNA from 1 species